rnacentral:rRNA from 1 species
AGUGAACGCUGGCGGUAGACCUAACACAUGCAAGUCGAACGGCAGCACAGUAAGAGCUUGCUCUUACGGGUGGCGAGUGGCGGACGGGUGAGGAAUACAUCGGAAUCUACUUUUUCGUGGGGGAUAACGUAGGGAAACUUACGCUAAUACCGCAUACGACCUACGUGUGAAAGCAGGCGAUCUUCGGACCUUGCGCGAUUGAAUGAGCCGAUGUCGGAUUAGCUAGUUGGCGGGGUAAAGGCGCACCAAGGCGACGAUCCGUAGCUGGUCUGAGAGGAUGAUCAGCCACCCUGGAACUGAGACACGGUCCAGACUCCUACGGGAGGCAGCAGUGGGGAAUAUUGGACAAUGGGCGAAAGCCUGAUCCAGCCAUACCGCGUGGGUGAAGAAGGACUUCGGGUUGUAAAGCCCUUUUGUUGGGAAAGAAGAGCAGCAGGUUAAUACCCCGCUGUUCUGACGGUACCCAAAGAAUAAGCACCGGCUAACUUCGUG